AUUGGAAAGCACUUUGAGAUCCUAGCAUGAGAAGGUCAAAAUAUCAUUAAUAAUAACAACUUCUAUUUUCUUCUCCAGGUGCCAGUGCGCAUUCAUUUGUUUUUGAUGUAUUUCAGAAAGUGAAGGACACCAUCGAAAGAGUAUGUGAGCCGCUGAUGUCUCUGAGUCAGGAUUUCAGGAUCAAAUUGCUGGGAACCUUUAAGAGCUUUCUGCAGGAUGGUGAUGUUAUAUCAGAUGUUAAAACUGUGCGGGGGGUCAACCUAAGCACUCAAUGCUGGACUCGUUGGAUGAAAUUCUCCGGCCUCAGGCGGAAAAUUUGCUUCAUGAUUUAGGAGUUUUCUGUGAGGAUCAGAGAGAAGAAUCCCCUUCAUUAUUGCAACCGGUACACUUCCUGUGUUCUUCUUUAGAAGAUCUGGACUUUAGAGUGCUGCCCCUGCUUGUGACCUGCAUAGAGAAGAACAUGGUGGCCAAGCAGCUUGCGCUGGAAGCCAUGGACUAAGAUGUGGACAGAGACUGUGAUGGGUCAGAAUCCACCAAACCAUUGCCUCCACCUCCACUAAAAUAGAUUCAUAGAUUCAUAGAUUCUAGGACUGGAAGGGACCUCGAGAGGUCAUCGAGUCCAGUCCCCUGCCCGCAAUACUUCAGUUGAUUUCUUCCCUACCC
rnacentral:lncRNA from 1 species